rnacentral:lncRNA from 1 species
GUGAGUGCAAAGCCUGGCUUAAAGAGGGAGUGUCCCUGGGUGUUCGAGGAACAGUAAGAGGACCAGAUGGUUGGAGCAGAGUGAGAAACAGGGGGAGAAAUAAUUGUUGAGGUCAGAGAAAUUGGGAGUGAGGGAAGGAGGGAGAUUGUAUUGGCCUUGAGGGCCAUUGUAAGGGUUUUGGCUUUGAGUGAAAUGGAAAGUCAUUGAAGAGUUUGGAGCAGAGAAGUAAUAUUUUGAAAGGAUCACUCUGGCUGUGUGUUGAGAACAGACUGAAGGAGGGACAAGGAUGAAAAGAGGCAGAUCAGUUAGGAGAGUUUUGAAAUUAUCCAUGCCAAAGAUGAUGGUGCGCUGUGGACCAGAAGAGUAAUAGUGAAGGAGGAGAGAAGUGGCUGGAUUCUAGUCAAUGUAAAGAGAUACAGACUCUCUUACUGCCAAUUCACUUUAUUCCCGGGGCCUCGUCUCACCUGUCUCAAAAGUGAACUUCGUAUUUGGUUGUCGGGAUUCAGAAACACAUUCUGGAUAAGGAUGGAGCAUCACAGGACGGCUCGUGUCGGAGGAAGGGAUUUCUCCUGGGUUGUGCUGUUGUUAAUCACUCCAGAUACGUCUGAACGACAACAAACUCCCCAAGGGUUCCUUUCGAAAGCUCACACUUUGUUCUCCAAAGCCAUUGGGCCAAACAGCAACCAACAAACACAAAACAGCCCAUUUAAGAAAUCAAUACAGAGCCAGUCUUGAUGACCUAGUGGUUAAAGUUUGGUGCUCACUGAGUUUGCUGCGGCGGCCCGGGUUCGCUUCCAGGAUGCAGAACCACACCACCCAACUGUCAGGUGCCAUGCUGUGGGGGCGGCUCACACAGAAGAACCAGAAAGACUUACAACCAUGAG